rnacentral:piRNA from 1 species
UACCAUGAGAGCUGGCCUGGCCUGGUC